GGUUUUUAGAUUUUAUUAAAAAUCAAUCCUGCUCAAUGUAUCAAUAAAUAGCCGCGGUAUUAUGACCGUGCAAAGGUAGCAUAAUAAUUAGUCCUUUAAUUGUGGACUGGAAUGAACGGUUUGACUAAAUAUUUUUGUCUUAUAUUUAUAUUUUGAAUUUUAUCUUUUGAUAAAAAAGUUAAAAUAAACUUAAGGGACGAGAAGACCCUAUCAAGCUUUACAAUUUAUUUUUAUUUUCAAACUAAAAAAAAGAUUGUUUCACUGGGGCAGUGAAUAAAAAGUUUUUAUUUAAAUAUUGUGAAUUCAUUUCUAGAAAAAUCAAUAAUUUCUUAAAUAGGAAUAAGUUACUGUAGGGAUAACAGCAUAAUUUUUUUAAAGAGUUCUCAUCAUCAAAAAAGUUUGUGACCUCGAUGUUGGAUUAAAAUACCUAAUUUAUGAAGUAGUUUAUAAAGGAAGUCUGUUCGACUUUUAAAAUUUUCCA
rnacentral:rRNA from 1 species